AUGGCGCUCCUGUUUUGUAUCCAUCCGCGUGUUGUGUGAAAGUUACCGCAUUUAUCGACUUGACCUUAUGACGGGACUUGAAAAAUACAGCAACCGCAUUGCAAAGUGCUGAAAACCACUCAGAACACCAUUGCUACUGCAUUGCAAAACCCUGGCGGAUGUUUUAGCAUCAUAGAGAAUCUGGUAACACUGUUUGGAUGGAAGAAAGCAAGAAUGAUACCAUCACAGUACUGGAAAAAAGCACAUUAUAUGUCUUGAAACUCUCAAUUAUGUUUGAGAAAAUGAGUCUUUUCCUGAAUGCAUCUACCUUUCUUGAAGGAUGUCAAAGCAGCGGCAGCCUUUGACUUCAUUACUCACUUCCCACCUGAUUUAACUUAUGCUGAAGUGGCAAUUGCAUUUUCAUAGCUCAAAACCCAAAGGUAAUCUAAAGCAGAGCCCACUCCAUGGACACUGCCAAAGCACCAUGCAAAAGGCAUGCGAUUCCUCCACAACUCGGCUCGGAUCACCAACAUCAGAGGAUUUCAAAGCAGUAAAGUCAAGGCAACCUGUAGUUCACUCCGACUGUUUUAUCAAAACAAGCAUUCGCUGGAGUCUUAUAAUUAUAGGUUAACGCAAAGAGUUGGAUUCAAGCAUUGCUGCGCAGAAAUGUCCUUUGAGAUCUUGUUGGAUUUGUGUCUGAGGAUCGGUUGUGCAUCAGUGACAUCGCCUGGGCUCUAAAUGAUACCAAAUGUUGAAGUUUGCCCCCGUUUCAAACGCCAGGGUAAUUGUGGCUGUAUAUCAACUUCCAGUUUUAUCAAGCUUCCACAGGCCUAUUGUGUACAAGCAUGUUUUAGUUUGCCCACAGGAGGGCAGUGUUUCUUAAAAUUUGCCCAGGGUUCGACCUUGAAGCAGGACUGAUAAUGA